rnacentral:rRNA from 1 species
UACGGAGGAUCCAAGCGUUAUCCGGAAUUACUGGGCGUAAAGAGUUGCGUAGGUGGCAGAGUGUGUCUGUAGUGAAAGCGUUCGGCUCAACCGAAUAAACAUUAUGGAAACUGCUCGGCUAGAGGACGAGAGAGGUUAUUGGAAUUCCCAGUGUAGGAGUGAAAUCCGUAGAUAUUGGGAGGAACACCGAUGGCGUAGGCAGAUAACUGGCUCGUUCCUAACACUAAGGCACGAAAGCGUGGGGAGCAAACGGG